UCAACCUCCCAAAAUGACUUCCCCUGCUCAGCUCCUGGGGCUGCUGAUUCUCUGGAUCACUGGAUCCAGUGGGGAAAUCAUGAUGACACAGACCCCGCUGUCACUGUCUGUCACCUCCGGAGAGUCGGCCUCCAUCUCUUGCAGGGCUAGUCAGAGCCUCCUACAGAGUGAUGGAAAUACCUAUUUACAUUGGUACCUGCAGAAGCCAGGCCAGUCCCCACAGCUCCUCAUCUACUUGGUUUCCAACCGUUACACUGGGGUCCCAGACAGGUUCAGUGGCAGCGGGUCAGGGACAGAUUUCACCCUGAGGAUCAGCAGGGUGGAGGCUGACGAUAUGGGAGUUUAUUACUGCGGGCAAAAUCUAUAG